rnacentral:lncRNA from 1 species
GAACUGCGUGCCCAUCUGUCUUGUAUGUGUUUCCAGGGGUGGCUUACAAUGGUCUUCGCCAUGUACUGGAUGGACGUGUACUUAUUAUGAAUCCUCACACCCUGAGACCCAAGAGGAUCCCUCGUAAAACAAGGCCAUAUCUGAUUUGGAUUAAAAUCCCCACGGAGAACCUGAUGUCACCCAGGAAAGUGCACGUCUCCUUGCGUGCUCUUGAGAAACGGUUGAGAAAACAGUCCUUCCAGCUCAGUAAAUACCAUUUUCUUUCUGUCUGCUCACCACCCUUGCAUUUGCAAUAAACCUGACAAAAACUUCCAGAGCGAAAAUAAGAAUGUUCAUAUUUGAAGGAGAUGUUGGCAGACGGCCACAGACUUCAAGUACGCAAGCUCAUUCCGCUCUUGCUUUUCUGCCAAUAACUCCUUGGCCUCCGCGCACUCUGCACAGGCGGGGCCUGAGGACGGAUCAUGAUCGUGUCCGAUGAUCACGGACCCGCCGGAGACUCUCAAUGGAGAGGCGAUGAGUCACAGCCAAGCGAACUUUCUCUGCUCCUGAACAAAUUGCUUCUCCUCGUCGUCCCACUCCAAACCUAGAGGUGGGACAACCCCAGCAUCCUGGGCGUGAACGCACCCAGCUUGAUUGUCACAUGGGGAAUAGAGACCUCGCGCCUGCCUGGCAUAGGCCAACCCAGUAAUGUUCAUUUAAAGCUGGCUUUACUAGUCCUUCUUCCACAAUGAGAGGUGACCCUUCACUUCACCGAGAAAGGAAGGAAGAAAGGGAGAAACAGGAAAACUUUGAAGAAUCUUCCAGAUUUGCCUAACGCAGAUGUGCAUGACCUGACAAGAUAGAUGUGCCAUUUGGACCCUUUCAAGAGCAGACAGAAUGGAAGGGAGGCUGGAGUGCAAUGGUGUGAUCUCUGCUCCUGCAACCUGCGCCUCCUGAGUUCAAGCGAUUCUCCUGCCUCAGCCUCCCAAGUUGCUGGGAUUACAGGGGCCCGCCACCACGCCCAGCUAAUUUUUGUUAUUUUCAGUAGAGAUGGGGUUUCAUCAUGUUGGCCAGGCUAGUCUUGAACUCCUGACCUCAGGCGAUCCGCCCGCCUCGGCCUCCCAAAGUGCUGGGAUUACAGGUGUGAGCCACUGCACCUGCCCAAGGACUAAGGUUUUCUAUUUCUUAUUGUGUCAGUUAGGUUGUAUUUUUCUGUGAAUCUGUUCAUUUCACCAAAUUUUCAAGUUUGUUGGCUUAAAGUUUUCGAUAAUAUACUCUUAUUUUGUGGUGAAGUCCCUUUUUUAUUUCUUGUAUUUGUUAUUUGUGCCUUCUUUUCUUUUUUUUUUUUCCUUUUCUUUUUUAUGAGAUAGAGUUUCACUCUUGUCGCCCAAGCUGGAGUGCAAUGGCGCGAUCUCAGCUCACUGAAACCUCUGCCUCCCGGGUUCAAGCGAUUCUCCUGCCUCAGCCUCCUGAGUGGCUGGGAUUAUAGGCACCCAUCACCACGCCCAGCUAAUUUUUUGUAUUUUUAGUAGAAAUGGGGUUUCACCAUGUUAGCCAGGCUGGUGCCAAACUCCUGAUUUCAGGUGAUCCGCCCGCCUCAGCCUCCCAAAGUGCUGGGAUUACAGGCGUGAGCCACCACGCCCAGCCUUUUCCUUUUCUAUUUUCUUUUUCUUUUCACAGAUGCCUUUUGUGAAAACUGUCAAAUUGUUUCCUUUUAAUCAUUCUCUUUAGGGAUUAACCAAUUUUAUUAGUGGUUUCAGUUUUGGCUUUGUUGAUUCUCUCCGUUGUGUGUUUGUUUUUAUACUUAUUAUACAUUGAAAUCAUUUCCUCCUGUCUACUUUAUUAUAUAUUUAAAUCAUUUCCUCCUGUCUAUUUUUGUUGGGUUUCUUUAGUUGUUCUUUUCCUGACAUCUUAAAAUGAAUGUGCUUAGCUCAUUAUAUUUUAAGUCUUUCUUCUUCCCUAAAAUAUGCAAUUAAGGCUAUAAAUUUCCCCCCAAACACUGCAUUAGCUUUACUCCAUAAGUUUUGUUGUAUUUUGUUUUUCAUUACAUAUAGUAUAGUUCAAAGUAAUUUCAAAUUUCCGUUUUUAUUUGUUCUGAAACCCAUGCAUUAUUUAGAAGUAUAUUUUAGAAGCACGUUACUCGAAAGUAUAGUUUUCAAAGGUACAGGGACUUUUUAAUAUUUUUAUUAUCGAUUCUUAAACUAUUUGCAAUAUGUUAGGAUAACAUUAUCUGCUGUAUUUUAAUCCUUUGAAAUGUGUUGAAACUUGCGUUUUGGCCCAGCAGAUCAUCGUAUUUUAAAAUGGAUGAUAUCUUUUUGAAAAUAACAUAUUUUUCACUUGUUGGGUGCACAGUUCUCCAUAUGUUCAUACAACAAGAUUGUUCAUUAUGAUGUCUCAAAUCUUCUACAGUGUUAUUGAUUUAUUGUCUGCCUGUUCCAUUGAUUACUGAAAAAGCUGUGUCAAACAUCCCACUAUGAAUAUGGACUUGUCUGUUUCUCCAUAUAAUUCUGUUCACAUUGCUCUAUGUAUCAUGUAAUUAGGUACAUACAAAUUUAAAAUAAUCUUUUAUUAUUAUAGGGUGACCCUCCUUAAUUCUAGAGACGCUUUUUUUUUUUUUUUUCAUUUU